UACGUAGGGUGCGAGCGUUAAUCGGAAUUACUGGGCGUAAAGCGUGCGCAGGCGGUUAUUUAAGUCAGGUGUGAAAUCCCCGGGCUUAACCUGGGAAUUGCGCUUGAAACUGGCAGGCUUGAGUGUGGCAGAGGGGGGUGGAAUUCCACGUGUAGCAGUGAAAUGCGUAGAUAUGUGGAGGAACACCGAUGGCGAAGGCAGCCCCCUGGGCUAACACUGGACGCCUCAUGCACGAAAGCGUGGGGAGCAAACAGG
rnacentral:rRNA from 1 species